GCAGCAGGCGCGAAAACUUUGCAAUACACGAAAGUGUGACAGGGUUAUCCCGAGUGCCGACCGCUGAGGUUGGCUUUUACCCAGUCUAGAAAGCUGGGGGAAUAAGGAGAGGGCAAGUCUGGUGUCAGCCGCCGCGGUAAUACCAGCUCUCCGAGUGGUGUGGACGUUUAUUGGGCCUAAAGCAUCCGUAGCUGGCUGAACAAGUCCCCUGUUAAACCCACCGAUUUAAUCGUUGGCGUGCGGGGGAUACUGCUCAGCUAGGGGACGAGAGAGGCAGACGGUAUUCCCGGGGUAGGGGUGAAAUCCUAUAAUCCCGAGAAGACCACCAGUGGCGAAGGCUGUCUGCUAGAACGCGCCCGACGGUGAGGGAUGAAAGCUGGGGGAGCGAACCGGAUUAGAUACCCGGGUAGUCCCAGCUGUAAACGGUGCAGACUAGGUGUUUGGACGGCCACGUGCCGUUCUAGUGCCGCAGGGAAGCUGUUAAGUCUGCCGCCUGGGGAGUACGAUCGCAAGAUUGAAACUUAAAGGAAUUGGCGGGGGAGCAC
rnacentral:rRNA from 1 species